AUUGAGGUCUAUCCCAACGGGGCUUUUCUGUAGACCUACAUUGUUGGAAACACCUCAUAGAGUACAUAUGUGGUUUCCUUUAUUCACAUUUCUUAUAUGUUAGAUCUGUGGGAAAGAAUUAUAAGACAUCU